UUUGCACGCCGCCUCUGGAGGCUAGAAGUGCCUUUUGCUCCUGAAGCCAGUGAAGGAGAAACAGCAGUCCUGAGGUGGUAGAAAGAAAACUGCAUCUAGUGACAAGAGGACUAGAUUAGACUGAUGCUGGUCUCUUUUAGGACAUUAGUACUUGACUAGUACCUACAACUAGUGUGUAUAGCAUCUAUUGGAAUCAUUAAUUGUAUCAUAGCAAAAUAUUUUUCUAUAGUUUUUCUAUUAAAUGCCUUUAA